rnacentral:piRNA from 1 species
CAAGACAGCUGUGGUUGUGGGGACUGUCA